AGCCACAAGUUAAUAUUUGUGGUUUAACCUGCCCAAUGUGAAUUUAAAAAGAUGAAUGGCCGCGGUACCCUGACCGUGCUAAGGUAGCGUAAUCAAUUGGCUUUUAAAUGGAGUCAGGAAUGAAUGGAAUAACCGGGUUUAGCUGUCUCCUUUCUAAUCAAUUGAAUUUACUGUUCAAGUGAAAAAGCUUGUAGUAAGAAAAGGGACGAGAAGACCCUUAGAAUUUUUUUUAGUGGGAAAAUUUUUUCCUAAUGAUUUUGUUGGGGCGACACGGAAAUAUAUAAAAACUUUCCUUUAAGACUUGCCGAUUUUGUUAAGUUAGGAUAAAUUACCUGAGGGAUAACAGCAUAAUUCUACAGAUGAGUUUGUGACCUCGAUGUUGGACUAGGGAACUAGCAAGCUAGCCGUUUGCUGUGUGGGUUCUGUUCGAACUGUAAUCCCUACG
rnacentral:rRNA from 1 species